rnacentral:lncRNA from 1 species
UUCUGACUCCAGGACCUUGCUCCCGGGUGGCAUCCCUGGACCUGCCUAGGGCCUAAGAAAACUUGCCAACCUGAAGAGAAGGACACAGGGCUGGCUGGCUUUGCCACCUGCUGAUUGUAGAGGCUGGGGACUUUCAGCAAACACAGGAGCUUUGAUGCAUCUCCCCUGAAUUUAGAAAAUAGGAUGCAUGUUCCCUCCGGGAUAGGGUCUAUGUAUAGCAUGGCAACUUAUACAGUUGUAUUUAGUACGGAUGGAGAUGGAAUUCUAACCAAG